GCCAGGGACACGGCCUCGCGGCUCGUCCCCAAGAGGCAGCGAGCGGAAAUGAAGCAGAGUUCAGGGCUGGUGGAGCUGCGGAAGAGCCGAGAUGAGUCUGGGUGGGGAGACCAAGCUCACCUUUCAUAUUCUAAUGCCUUGCCUCUGCCUGAUUUGUGAGCUCCCGGGAGCCCUGCUGGGAAUUGGCUGGAACGGAGGCACACGCCGCCGUCCCUCGGCUCUCUGCCCUCUCUCCUCCUGGGUCAUGCCAGUGCCCUGGACCUGGGGACACAGAUGGGAUCCAGUUUGCCCAGCAAACUGCAGCACCUUGCUCUUCUCACGCUGGUCCUGUACCACCACCCCAGCACUCAGCAGCGCUGCCGUUGCCUGGACUCAUGCACACGAGUGGACACAGCAGGACGGAUGCAGGCGCUGCCUUCGGAGCGCUGGGAACGGGGGGAGAGCGUCUUUCCAGGCAGGUUUUGAUUCCCUUCUCUGAUGAAAAGAAGAAAACGGAGCCUUCAACUUUAAUCAGUUUGGAGGUUUUUUGACACGACAUAUCUUUAAUUGCUGAUAUUUCUGCUCCCCUCAAACCCGGCUGCACCAGCCCCAGCCUCAGCCGAGAUAACGAAGCAGGCUGAGGUGCG